rnacentral:rRNA from 1 species
CGCCUGGGGAGUACGGGUGAGGUAACGGCUCACCAAGGCAUCGACGGGUAGCUGGUCUGAGAGGAUGAUCAGCCACACUGGGACUGAGACACGGCCCAGACUCCUACGGGAGGCAGCAGUAGGGAAUAUUGCACAAUGGGCGAAAGCCUGAUGCAGCAACGCCGCGUGCGGGAAGAAGGCCCUAGGGUUGUAAACCGCUUUCAGCAGGGAAGAAAAUGACGGUACCUGCAGAAGAAGGUGCGGCCAACUACGUGCCAGCAGCCGCGGUGACACGUAGGCACCAAGCGUUGUCCGGAUUUAUUGGGCGUAAAGAGCUCGUAGGCGGUUCAGUAAGUCGGGUGUGAAAACUCAAGGCUCAACCUUGAGACGCCACUCGAUACUGCUGUGACUUGAGUCCGGUAGAGGAGUGUGGAAUUCCUGGUGUAGCGGUGAAAUGCGCAGAUAUCAGGAGGAACACCAGCGGCGAAGGCGGCACUCUGGGCCGGUACUGACGCUGAGGAGCGAAAGCAUGGGGAGCAAACAGGAUUAGAUACCCUGGUAGUCCAUGCCGUAAACGUUGGGCACUAGGUAUGGGAUCAUAUCAACGGAUUCCGUGCCGUAGCUAACGCAUUAAGUGCCCCGCCUGGGGAGUACGGAC